rnacentral:lncRNA from 1 species
UUGUUAGGCACAGAGCAGCGUGCUGUGAACUACUCCGGGGUCUUGGCAAGAGCACAGCAAGCAGUGGACAAGUUCUAUAAAAUUGAUUUUCCAAUAGUGUUGGCAUUUUCGAGAGGAAAGGGAAAAGAGACAGCAGCAGUGUGAAGCCAUCGGAUCACGUGCGUUCCUACUUAUGAAAAGGACUUGUGCUUAUCUCAGGUUAGCAACAGGAUAUGCAGUUUUAGGGCUGAUAUCAAAGGCAUUUUGGUUUAUUUAUUUAUUUAGCCACUUGCAAUAGAUGCUGUGUUGUCAGCUCCAGGAGCUGAAGUCCCUUAUUUAUGUGCCUGGAUUUCCCUGUGUCAUUCUGCCAGCGUGGCUCAACCCUGAUCUGGUUUCCACACUCAUUCAGCACUUGCUGAAAUAGUCACCUAGGGAGUAAACACUGCCAGCCAUGGCCGUGCUUUCUGAGAUAUGGAGCCCAGCCCAGUCAGAAGUUUGCCAAGAUAACCUCAUUGCAUCAUGUGCCAAAGAGCCUCAAACAGCUGGAGCAUUGAAGGACUGUGACAUUUAAACAAGAUACUGAAAAUGCAAGGUAAUCAUCGUCAUGUUAGAAUGCAUGCAAAUGUGGAAUUUAGAAAUUAAAGACUUCCUACCAUAUUUUUAUAUAUUCACCAGGCAACAUCUAGGUUCAAGGAACAGAUUAAAUACCUGGGACACUGACUUUUUUCAGUGGUGGCUUCUGGUGAGAAGCAAGGACAGUGUGGAGCCUGAAGGCAAGGAACUUAGAAGUUGCAAUCAAGUAUCUGUACUGACAGCUCCAUCAUUUGCCUGAUGGAAACUGGAAAACAAACAACCCCCUCUUCCAUCCUGCCACCAGAAGUGAGACUAAUUUAAAGUGUAAGGCAAGACUGUAAAAGUUUACUUUCAAUCCCUGUUCUUGUGGCCUUAAUAACACGCCUUUCACACGAUUUUUUGACAGCAAAAAAUAAUUGGCAAUAUAAAAGUUUUAAAGCAAUCCAUGGUGCAGUAUCUUCAUUGUCUCGGAGGAAGCACAAGACACAUAAUAAAGAGUAAAAGUUUACUCA